rnacentral:rRNA from 1 species
AUUAAUAAUUAAUAUAUUUAAUAAAAAUAAUUUUAAUUUAAUAAGUAUUUUAAUGGGGGUUAAAGUAUUUUUUAAAGAAAAAAUUUUUAAAUUUAUAGUUAAUUAGUAUUGUGAAAGAAUUUUGAAAUAUUAUGAAAAAUAAAAUUUUUAGAAAGUAAUUUUUAUUUAUUGUAUCUUGUGUAUCAGAGUUUAUUAAAAAUUUUUAAUUUAUGAAUUAAUUUCUCGAAUUUAAAAGAGUUAAAUAAUUAUUAAAGUUAUUGUAGCAAAAUUAUUUUAAAUAAUUAUUUAGAAAUGAAAUGUUAAUCGUUUUUAAAUAUAUCUAGUUUUUAUAGAAAAAAAUUUAAUUUUAAAUUUAAAAAUUAUUUAAUUAAUUUAUUAAUUAAAUAGUUACUUAAAUUUUAUAAUUUAAGGGAUAAGCUUUAAAUUAAAUUUUUAUAAUAUUAAAUUUUUAUUUUGAAAAUUUUAUAAUUUAUAUUGUUAAUAAAUUUUAUUUUGUUAUAAAUAAUUUCAUUUUUUUUAAAAUUUAAAUUUUAUUUAAUUUUUUAUAUAAAAUUUAUUUAUAAUUAUAUAAAGUUAAUUAUAAUGAUAAAAUUAGUAUAUUAUUUAAUAUUAAAUUAAAAUUAAUUUUUGAUUAAUAAUUAAAUUAAUUAAAAGGAAUUCGGCAAAUAUUUAUUUUCACUUGUUUAUCAAAAACAUGUCUUUUUGUUAUUUAAUUUAAAGUCUAAUCUGCCCACUGAUUUAUAAAAAUUGAAGGGCUGCAGUAUAUUGACUGUACAAAGGUAGCAUAAUCAUUAGUCUCUUAAUUGGUGACUUGUAUGAAAGAUUGGAUGAAAAAUAUACUGUCUCUUAAUUAAUAUAUAGAAUUUAAUUUUUUAUUUAAAAAGUUAAAAUAACUUAAAAAGACGAGAAGACCCUAUAGAGUUUAAUAAAUUAUUUUAUGAAAGUUUUAUUUAUAUUUAUUAAUAAUUUUAUAAAUUUAUUUAUUUAGUUGGGGGGAUAAAAAAAUAAAUUUAACUUUUUUUAAGUAAUUUACAUGGAUAAGUGAUUAAU